rnacentral:rRNA from 1 species
AUGGACGAAAGUCUGAUGGAGCAACGCCGCGUGAGCGAUGAAGGCCUUCGGGUCGUAAAGCUCUGUUGUUAGGGAAGAACAAGUACCGGAGUAACUGCCGGUACCUUGACGGUACCUAACCAGAAAGCCACGGCUAACUACGUGCCAGCAGCCGCGGUAAUACGUAGGUGGCAAGCGUUGUCCGGAAUUAUUGGGCGUAAAGCGCGCGCAGGCGGUCCUUUAAGUCUGAUGUGAAAGCCCACGGCUCAACCGUGGAGGGUCAUUGGAAACUGGGGGACUUGAGUGCAGAAGAGGAAAGCGGAAUUCCACGUGUAGCGGUGAAAUGCGUAGAGAUGUGGAGGAACACCAGUGGCGAAGGCGGCUUUCUGGUCUGUAACUGACGCUGAGGCGCGAAAGCGUGGGGAGCAAACAGGAUUAGAUACCCUGGUAGUCCACGCCGUAAACGAUGAGUGCUAAGUGUUAGGGGGUUU